rnacentral:rRNA from 1 species
UGGGCGAAAGCCUGAUGCAGCGAUACCGCGUGGGUGAAGAAGGCCCUCGGGUCGUAAAGCCCUGUCAGAGGGAAAGAUAAUGACGGUACCCUCUAAGGAAGCCACGGCUAAUUACGUGCCAGCAGCCGCGGUAAUACGUAAGUGGCGAGCGUUAUCCGGAAUUACUGGGCGUAAAGUGUGCGUAGGCGGUUUAGUGUGUGGGAAUUGAAAGCCCGGGGCUCAACUCCGGAUCCGGUUCCCAAACUGCUAGACUCGAGCGUAUCAGAGGACAGUGGAAUUCCCGGUGUAGCGGUAAUAUGCGUAGAUAUCGGGAGGAACACCAGUGGCGAAGGCGACUGUCUGGGGUAUUGCUGACGCUGAGGCACGAAAGCCAGGGGAGCGAACGGGAUUAGAUACCCCGGUAGUCCUGGCUGUAAACGAUGAUCACUAGGUGUAGGAGGCUUCGACCCCUUCUGCGCCGCCGCUAACGCAUUAAGUGAUCCGCCUGGGGAGUACGGCCGCAAGGUUA